rnacentral:miRNA from 1 species
UAUAUGGUGCGAACAGCACGACGUC